rnacentral:rRNA from 1 species
UACAGAGGUCCCAAGCGUUGUUCGGAUUUAUUGGGCGUAAAGAGCUCGUAGGUGGCUGAGUAAGUCGGAUGUUAAAUCCCCAGGCUCAACCUGGGACACCACCCGAUACUGCUCUGGCUAGAGUCCGGUAGGGGAGCGUGGAAUUCCUGGUGUAGCGGUGAAAUGCGCAGAUAUCAGGAGGAACACCAGCGGCGAAGGCGGCGCUCUGGGCCGGUACUGACACUGAGGAGCGAAAGCCAGGGGAGCAAACGGG